UACGGAGGGAGCUAGCGUUAUUCGGAAUUACUGGGCGUAAAGCGCACGUAGGCGGCUUUGUAAGUAAGAGGUGAAAGCCUGGAGCUCAACUCCAGAACUGCCUUUUAGACUGCAUCGCUUGAAUCCAGGAGAGGUGAGUGGAAUUCCGAGUGUAGAGGUGAAAUUCGUAGAUAUUCGGAAGAACACCAGUGGCGAAGGCGGCUCACUGGACUGGUAUUGACGCUGAGGUGGACGAAAAGCGUGGGGGAGCAAAACAGGGAUUUAGAAA
rnacentral:rRNA from 1 species